GGGCCUAUAGCUCAACUGGUUAGAGCCGGCCGCUCAUAACGGUCUGGUUGCAGGUUCGAGUCCUGCUGGGCCCA
rnacentral:tRNA from 1 species